rnacentral:rRNA from 1 species
GACGAACGCUGGCGGCGUGCCUAAUACAUGCAAGUUGAGCGAUGAAGCUUGGUGCUUGCACCAAUUUGAAGAGCAGCGAACGGGUGAGUAACGCGUGGGGAAUCUGCCUUUGAGCGGGGGACAACAUUUGGAAACGAAUGCUAAUACCGCAUAAUAACUUUAAACAUAAGUUUUAAGUUUGAAAGAUGCAAUUGCAUCACUCAAAGAUGAUCCCGCGUUGUAUUAGCUAGUUGGUGAGGUAAAGGCUCACCAAGGCGAUGAUACAUAGCCGACCUGAGAGGGUGACCGGCCACAUUGGGACUGAGACACGGCCCAAACUCCUACGGGAGGCAGCAGUAGGGAAUCUUCGGCAAUGGACGAAAGUCUGACCGAGCAACGCCGCGUGAGUGAAGAAGGUUUUCGGAUCGUAAAACUCUGUUGGUAGAGAAGAACGUUGGUGAGAGUGGAAAGCUCAUCAAGUGACGGUAACUACCCAGAAAGGGACGGCUAACUACGUG